UGGGGAAUAUUGCACAAUGGAGGGAUCUCUGAUGCAGCGACGCCGCGUGAACGAAGAAGGCUUUCGAGUCGUAAAGUUCUUUUAUAUGGGAAGAUAAUGACGGUACCAUAAGAAGAAGCCCCGGCUAACUACGUGCCAGCAGCCGCGGUAAUACGUAGGGGGCUAGCGUUGUCCGGAAUCACUGGGCGUAAAGGGUUCGCAGGCGGAAAUGCAAGUCAGGUGUAAAAGGCAGUAGCUUAACUACUGUAAGCAUUUGAAACUGCAUAUCUUGAGAAGAGUAGAGGUAAGUGGAAUUUUUAGUGUAGCGGUGAAAUGCGUAGAUAUUAAAAAGAAUACCGGUGGCGAAGGCGACUUACUGGGCUCAUUCUGACGCUGAGGAACGAAAGCGUGGGUAGCAAACAGG
rnacentral:rRNA from 1 species